rnacentral:rRNA from 1 species
GAUGAACGCUAGCGGCAGGCUUAACACAUGCAAGUCGAGGGGUAACGAUGGCUUCGGCCAGUCGACGACCGGCGCACGGGUGAGUAUCGCGUUUGUAACCUACCUUUAACUGGAGAAUAGCCCGUAGAAAUGCGGAUUAAUACUCCAUAAUACUAUAGUUUGGCAUCAUUUUAUAGUUAAAGCUCCGGCGGUUAAAGAUGGGCAUGCGUAACAUUAGCUAGUUGGUGAGGUAACGGCCCACCAAGGCUACGAUGUUUAGGGGGUCUGAGAGGAUGGUCCCCCACACUGGUACUGAGACACGGACCAGACUCCUACGGGUGGCAG